GACGAGCGCUGGCGGCGUGCUUAACACAUGCAAGUCGAACGGUGAAGGGACUGGUUUUGCUGGUCCUGGAUGAGUGGCGAACGGGUGAGUAACACGUGAGUAACCUGCCCCCUUCUUCUGGAUAACCGCAUGAAAGUGUGGCUAAUACGGGAUAUUCUGGGUCUGUCGCAUGGUGGGCCUGGGAAAGAUUGCGCCUUUUUUGGUGUUUUUGGUGGGGGAUGGGCUCGCGGCCUAUCAGCUUGUUGGUGGGGUGAUGGCCUACCAAGGCGGUGACGGGUAGCCGGCCUGAGAGGGUGGACGGUCACACUGGGACUGAGACACGGCCCAGACUCCUACGGGAGGCAGCAGUGGGGAAUAUUGCACAAUGGGCGCAAGCCUGAUGCAGCGACGCCGCGUGAGGGAUGGAGGCCUUCGGGUUGUGAACCUCUUUCGCCAGUGAAGCAGGCCUGCCUCUUUUUGUGGGUGGGUUGACGGUAGCUGGAUAAGAAGCGCCGGCUAACUACGUG
rnacentral:rRNA from 1 species